rnacentral:rRNA from 1 species
CACGUAGGGUGCGAGCGUUGUCCGGAAUUAUUGGGCGUAAAGAGCUCGUAGGCGGUGUGUCGCGUCGGCCGUGAAAACCUGCAGCUUAACUGUGGGCUUGCGGUCGAUACGGGCAUCACUGGAGUUCGGCAGGGGAGACUGGAAUUCCUGGUGUAGCGGUGAAAUGCGUAGAUAUCAGGAGGAACACCGGUGGCGAAGGCGGGUCUCUGGGCCGUAACUGACG